UAUCCAGCUUGCUAUUGCUUUCUCCAACUUGUUAUGUAGGCGCUUUUAUUUUUUCUACUAUUGGACGGGUGGCAAUGGGUUGCCUGUGCGUCUUAAUAAAGGCAAAAAGCCUUGGGGACGCUGGAUCUGGUACUCUCUCCUUUUUCCAUAUGUCUGGGAAUGCUGAGUGCCUCAUCAUUCUUCUUACCCUCUCCGCUAGCUUAAAUGUUGGGUUUGCUGGUAGUUUUUCUGAUUUUGAAUCCUCUAUAUAUUGCCUCAAAAAUGCAUUGUAUUCAUGAUGUUUCAUCAAUACCAUCUUCUUGGUUUUGUCUUCCCUCGUGAAG
rnacentral:lncRNA from 1 species